AGAGUUUGAUCAUGGCUCAGAUUGAACGCUGGCGGCAGGCUUAACACAUGCAAGUCGAGCGGAAACGAAGGUAGCUUGCUACCAGGCGUCGAGCGGCGGACGGGUGAGUAAUGCUUAGGAAUCUACCGAGUAGUGGGGGAUAGCCAUUGGAAACGAUGAUUAAUACCGCAUAUAUCCUACGGGGGAAAGCAGGGGGCCUUCGGGCCUUGCGCUAUUCGAUGAGCCUGAGUGAGAUUAGCUAGUUGGUGGGGCAAAGGCCUACCAAGGCGACGAUCUCUAGCUGGUCUGAGAGGAUGAUCAGCCACACUGGGACUGAGACACGGCCCAGACUCCUACGGGAGGCAGCAGUGGGGAAUAUUGCACAAUGGACGAAAGUCUGAUGCAGCCAUGCCGCGUGUGUGAAGAAGGCCUUCGGGUUGUAAAGCACUUUCAGCGAGGAGGAAAGGUCAGUAAGUAAUAUUUGCUGGCUGUGACGUUACUCGCAGAAGAAGCACCGGCUAAUUUAGUGCCAGCAGCCGCGGUAAUACUAAAGGUGCAAGCGUUAAUCGGAAUUACUGGGCGUAAAGCGCGCGUAGGUGGUUUGUUAAGUUGGAUGUGAAAGCCCAGGGCUCAACCUUGGAACUGCAUUCAAAACUGACUCACUAGAGUACGAGAGAGGUUAGUGGAAUUUCCUGUGUAGCGGUGAAAUGCGUAGAGAUGGGAAGGAACACCAGUGGCGAAGCGACUGACUGGCUCGAUACUGACACUGAGUGCGA
rnacentral:rRNA from 1 species